UCUUACCUCCUCUUCCUGGGUACCCAAACUAUUGACCUGCACAACCACAUCCGUUUAUAGCACUGAGGAUGGAAGCCAGGGCUUUGUGAGUGUGGGGUAGCCUGUGGCUAGAAGCCUCAAUGAUGGUCCCACAUCACAGCUCAAGCUUGGGAAGGGCGGCAGAAACAGGGCAGAAGUGCACUCCCACAGCGUCCCUCAGCAUCCCAUGUGUAUGGUGUUGUGCACAGUGUUUCCCAUCUUCCCGAUUAACAAGCAAAGCAAAGCAACAGCAGAAAGAGUUGGCUUGACGCUGAGGAGAUGUGGGCAACAUGUUUGCCUCCCAGCACAAGGACCUGAAUCUGAUUACCCAGGAUCCCAGGAAAAGCUCUAGAAACGCCUGCUCCUUCUUACCCAUUGUGGGCUGGGCUACAUUCCUGCAAUCCUGGGCUGUUCAUAAAACACAAACAGCCCAUUCAACAGGUCUGGCCUCUGGAGGACGCAUAGCUCUCACCUACUCAGGCUGCCUCAGCUCUUGCCCCAGGGCCUGGGAAGGAAGACAUGACCACUCCCAUUCCCAGUACUAGGACUUAACAAGACCCACGAGAUGAAGACAAUGGUGUGAACCAGUGAUCAGGUCCCCCAUCUGCCACACCCUGCUACACCCAUGCUGACUCUCUCAGAGGCAAGAGGCUCUCAGCUCCUGCUCAGACCUUCCAAGAAGAACCCUAUAGUGAAACAACAAGCAAAACUGACCUCCUGUCGAGGUUAAUAAGCAAGUCAGGCUUUGCCAGAGAAAGAGUGCGCACAAAGAACACAGACGGCAUUGUAGUUCUUUUCCUCGUUGCAGAGAAAAAGAAUCGACGAGAGAAA